rnacentral:rRNA from 1 species
AGCAGCCGCGGUAAUUCCAGCUCCAAUAGCGUAUAUUAAAGUUGUUGCAGUUAAAAAGCUCGUAGUUGAAUUUCGGGAUUGACACAUCGGUCGUGCCUUAAGGGGUAUGAACUGGUGUAGUCAAUUUCUCACCUUCUGGAGAACCGCGAUGCCCUUAAUUGGGUGUCGCGGGGAACCAGGACCUUUACUUUGAAAAAUUAGAGUGUUUAAAGCAGGCAUUUUGCUUGAAUAUAUUAGCAUGGAAUAAUAAAAUAGGACGGCAUGAUUCUAUUUUGUUGGUUUCUAGGAUUCACCGUAAUGAUUAAUAGGGAUAGUUGGGGGCAUUAGUAUUCAAUUGUCAGAGGUGAAAUUCUUGGAUUUAUUGAAGACUAACUACUGCGAAAGCAUUUGCCAAGGAUGUUUUCAUUAAUCAAGAACGAAAGUUAGGGGAUCGAAGACGAUCAGAUACCGUCGUAGUCUUAACCAUAAACUAUGCCGACUAGGGAUCGGAUGAUGUUAAUUUUAAUGACUCA